rnacentral:rRNA from 1 species
AGGGAAUCUUCCACAAUGGACGAAAGUCUGAUGGAGCAACGCCGCGUGAGUGAAGAAGGUUCUCGGAUCGUAAAACUCUGUUGUGAGGGAAGAACAAGUACCGGAGUAACUGCCGGUACCUUGACGGUACCUCAUUAGAAAGCCACGGCUAACUACGUGCCAGCAGCCGCGGUAAUACGUAGGUGGCAAGCGUUGUCCGGAAUCAUUGGGCGUAAAGCGCGCGCAGGCGGUCCCUUAAGUCUGAUGUGAAAGCCCACGGCUCAACCGUGGAGGGUCAUUGGAAACUGGGGGACUUGAGUGCAGAAGAGGAAAGCGGAAUUCCAAGUGUAGCGGUGAAAUGCGUAGAGAUUUGGAGGAACACCAGUGGCGAAGGCGGCUUUCUGGUCUGUAACUGACGCUGAGGCGCGAAAGCGUGGGGAGCAAACAGGAUUAGAUACCCUGGUAGUCCACGCCGUAAACGAUGAGUGCUAAGUGUUAGGGGGUUUCCGCCCCUUAGUGCUGCAGCUAACGCAUUAAGCACUCCGCCUGGGGAGUACGGUCGCAAGACUG